GAUGUGGCUCAGUUGGUAGAGCAUGGCACUUAAAAUGCUACGGUUGUGGGUUCGAUUCCCACAUGGGACCA